GCCUGGGUACUUGUUGCUGCUUUGAGAGUGCCUGUGUUGAGAGUGUCUUAGUGCCUGAGCCCGGGGAAAUGAGUUCACUCCUCCUCUAUCUGCUCUUUGUAGUCUUUUAUGCUGUGCUGAGGCUCGCCAGAUCUGAGGCUCUUCGGAGGAAGAGGAAACACCGAAAGAAAAAGCAGAAACCAAAAGCUUUUGGGUGCUGUGAGGAAGAGCUGGAGGAGGCUGGUGCAUCCCUAGAGACAUGCUGCUCUGUGCACCCGAAGAAGCUCCGCUUGGCUCAGCGCCUCAGGCUGAUU